rnacentral:rRNA from 1 species
CCCUUAGAUGUUCUGGGCUGCACGCGCGCUACACUGAUGCGCUCAACGAGUUUAUGACCUUGCCCGGAAGGGUUGGGUAAUCUUUUCAAAACGCAUCGUGAUGGGGAUAGAUUAUUGCAAUUAUUAAUCUUCAACGAGGAAUUCCUAGUAAGCGCGAGUCAUCAGCUCGUGCUGAUUACGUCCCUGCCCUUUGUACACACCGCCCGUCGCUCCUACCGAUUGGGUGAUCCGGUGAAUAAUUCGGACUGCAGCAAUGUUCAGCUCCUGAAUGUUGCAGCGGAAAGUUUAGUGAACCUUAUCACUUAGAGGAAGGAGAAGUCGUAACA